UACGUAGGGUGCGAGCGUUAAUCGGAAUUACUGGGCGUAAAGCGUGCGCAGGCGGCUUUGCAAGUCAGAUGUGAAAUCCCCGGGCUUAACCUGGGAACUGCAUUUGUGACUGCAUGGCUGGAGUGCGGCAGAGGGGACUGGAAUUCCGCGUGUAGCAGUGAAAUGCGUAGAUAUCAGGAGGAAUACCGAUGGCGAAGGCAGGUCUCUGGGCUGACACUGACGCUCAUGCACGAAAGCGUGGGGAGCAAACAGG
rnacentral:rRNA from 1 species